CCCAACAUCCUCGAUUCUCAAACAUUUGUAAGAAAAGAAAAACAGUGAGAGGCAGCUAAGCUAUGGUGGGGGUGCAAAAGGGAUGUUGGGAAGUGAAGAGGGGUAGUGACGUUCCAAAGAGAAGGCGGCUAGUGAAGAUACAUAUGUUAAACACCAUAGUCCACUCUAUUGCUUUUCUUUGUACUUCCGAUCCUAACCAUAAUUCCAAUACUGUUGCACGCUCCUCCCGUAAUUAGUGGAAUAGACACAAGCAAAAGUGAUGAUCAUACCAUUACCAUUCACUUUUACUCCUCAAGUUUCAAUCUCUAUUAAUGUCCGCU
rnacentral:lncRNA from 1 species